UACGGAGGAUCCGAGCGUUAUCCAGAUUUAUUGGGUUUAAAGGGUGCGCAGGCGGGAAAUUAAGUCGGUGGUGAAAUUUUGCAGCUCAACUGUAAAAGUGCCAUUGAUACUGGUUUUCUUGAGUGUGGAUGAAGUAGGCGGAAUUUGUGGUGUAGCGGUGAAAUGCAUAGAUAUCACGAGGAACUCCGAUUGCGCAGGCAGCUUACUAAACCAUAACUGACGCUCAGGCACGAAGGCGUAGGGAUCAAACAGGAUUAGAUA
rnacentral:rRNA from 1 species